GACGAACGCUGGCGGCGCGCUUAACACAUGCAAGUCGAGCGAUGAAACUUUAACAGAACCCUUCGGGGCGAAGAUAAAGGGGAUUAGCGGCGGACGGGUGAGUAACACGUGAGUAACCUGCCUUAGACGUUGGGAUAGCCUCGGGAAACCGGGAUUAAUACCAAAUAAAAUCAUAAUGACACAUGUCAUCACGAUCAAAACUCCGCUGGUCUAAGAUGGACUCGCGUCCCAUUAGCUAGUUGGUAGAGUAAAAGCCUACCAAGGCGACGAUGGGUAGCCGGGCUGAUAGGGGGAACCGCCACAUUGGAACUGAGAAACGGUCCAAACUCCUACGCAAGGCAGCAGUGGGGAAUAUUGCACACUGAAGGGAGCUCUGAUGCAGCGACGCGGCGUGAACGAGGAAGGCUUUCGAGUCGUAAAGUUCUUUUAUAUGGGAAGAUAAUGACGGUACCAUAAGAAAAAGCCCCGGCUAACUACGUG
rnacentral:rRNA from 1 species